rnacentral:rRNA from 1 species
UCAGGAUGAACGCCGGCGGUGUGCCUAAUACAUGCAAGUCGUACGCACUGGCCCAACUGAUUGAUGGUGCUUGCACCAGAUUGACGAUGGAUCACCAGUGAGUGGCGGACGGGUGAGUAACACGUGGGUAACCUGCCCCGGAGCGGGGGAUAACAUUUGGAAACAGAUGCUAAUACCGCAUAACUACGAAGACCACAUGGUCUUCGUAUAAAAGAUGGCUCUGCUAUCACUCUGGGAUGGACCCGCGGUGCAUUAGCUAGUUGGUAAGGUAACGGCUUACCAAGGCGAUGAUGCAUAGCCGAGUUGAGAGACUGAUCGGCCACAAUGGAACUGAGACACGGUCCAUACUCCUACGGGAGGCAGCAGUAGGGAAUCUUCCACAAUGGGCGCAAGCCUGAUGGAGCAACACCGCGUGAGUGAAGAAGGGUUUCGGCUCGUAAAGCUCUGUUGUUGGAGAAGAACGUACCUGAGAGUAACUGUUCAGGUAGUGACGGUAUCCAACCAGAAAGUCACGGCUAACUACGUGCCAGCAGCCGCGGUAAUACGUAGGUGGCAAGCGUUAUCCGGAUUUAUUGGGCGUAAAGCGAGCGCAGGCGGUUGCUUAGGUCUGAUGUGAAAGCCUUCGGCUUAACCGAAGAAGUGCAUCGGAAACCGGGCGACUUGAGUGCAGAAGAGGACAGUGGAACUCCAUGUGUAGCGGUGGAAUGCGUAGAUAUAUGGAAGAACACCAGUGGCGAAGGCGGCUGUCUGGUCUGCAAC